rnacentral:misc_RNA from 1 species
UAUUUGUGUUUUUUUUCAGAUAUUUGCAAUGUUGUGCAGAUUUUCUUUGAGGCCUGCUCUCUGCUUAUAUAACCAGAGUGUUGCAAAUUUUCAUAUUUCUCCAGCCUUUGCCAAUUCUAAAUCUAAUCUGGCUGCUUUACGGAAGAAGACUGGAUACUCGCUUUCUAUUUGCAAAAAAGCUCUCAGUGAGAGUGAGAAUGACCUGCAGCGAGCAGAAGGAUGGCUGAAGGAACAAGCACAGGCUCAGGGCUGGGCAAAGGCUCAGAAAUUGCAGGGUCGAAACACAACCCAAGGCCUUCUAGGCGUUCUAGUUCAGGAGAAUUCUGCUGCAAUGGUGGAACUCAACUGCGAGACAGAUUUUGUGGCGAGAAAUAAGAAAUUUAUAAGUAUAUUGGAAACGUUAGCUAACACUUGUGCCAGUUUACCGGUCUUAGAUACAUCGGAAUCCCUUUCAAGAUCAACUCUUUCCAGUACUGAGGUGGGUUUGUUAAAAACUGAAGAUGACCAGACAAUUGCGGAUUUAGUUGCACUGAAUAUUGGACAAAUCGGUGAAAACAUGGCCUUUGGUGAUGCCGACGUAUUUCACAGUAAAUCAGGAAGCGGAAUAAAGUUGGUGGGUUUAGCGCAUCCUCAAGUUGCAGGGAGCAAAGAGAAGAUUAAAUUUGGACGGUACACGGCAGUUAUGGCGUACACAUCUACCGGGGAAGGAACUCUUCCUGAUGGUUUGACAGAGGAACAUUUAACUUUACAGCUUUGUCAGCACAUCAUCGGAAUGGCUCCUACCUGUAUUAAAGAUGAAGAGGACAAGGAGAAUUCUCUUUAUCAUCAAGUUUUUCUCAUGGAUGAAGAUCUUAAGGUUGGAGACCUGACUGCUGCUGCAGGGAUAAAUAUUAUUAGUUUCUUGAGACGAGAAGUUGGAAGACGGGGUUAAACAAUACAUCCUUCGUCAAGCUUGAAAAAAUAAUGUACAAUUGUCAAUGAUUUGAUCAUUUAGGGCGAUUAUAUAUAGUAUUUGUUUUAAGCAAAGCAAUAAUGCAAAGUUCAGGGGUGUAUAUCUUUAUGGGGAAUCAAAAUCGGAACUCAAAACGCAAGUUUAUUUUUUCUUCUUUUUCUUCAAAAAUUCAUUUAAAAUCAUUGAUUACCCGCCUGUUUUGUGAAGAAAACUUAAAAAAAACUCACAACUUCUGACGUAAAAGAAUGACUUUCAAAAGGAGGUGGGAUGGUUUUCUUCGGGGAAAUAUACACCCCUGGUAAAGUUUUUCUGCGUCAUCAAAAAGAAAUUGAAGUCUCGUCUGAAAACGAUCCAAGGUUGGCUUUAUGAGAUGUAUGUAUGCUUGGGUUUAUUUUACCGUGAAGUUAUGUCACAUUGUUGUUACAUUAAUUUAACAUUGUUCAAUUUUUUUUAAUGAACGUUGUAAACAUUUUUUUCA